rnacentral:rRNA from 5 species
CUUUCAACAACGGAUCUCUUGGUUCUGGCAUCGAUGAAGAACGCAGCGAAAUGCGAUAAGUAAUGUGAAUUGCAGAAUUUAGUGAAUCAUCGAAUCUUUGAACGCACAUUGCGCCCCUUGGUAUUCCGGGGGGCAUGCCUGUUCGAGCGUCA